AUCUGUUCUUAUCAGUUUAAUAUCUGAUAUGUCCUCUAUACGAGGACUACAUAUUAAGCCGAUUUUUAGCUCUGGGAGAUGAAAAAGGGGCUUGCUCCGUUCACUCCAAGCAUCGACCCGGUAUUGCAGCACCUCCGGGAACGGUGC
ensembl:snRNA U2 U2 spliceosomal RNA